ACGAACGCUGGCGGCGUGCUUAACACAUGCAGGUCGAACGGUGAACUCCGCUUGCGGGGGGAUCAGUGGCGAACGGGUGAGUAACACGUGGGCAACCUGCCCUCAGCUCUGGGAUAACUCCAAGAAAUUGGGGCUAAUACCGGAUAUGACCGCUGACCGCAUGGUCUGGUGGUGGAAAGAUUUAUCGGCUGGGGAUGGGCCCGCGGCCUAUCAGCUUGUUGGUGGGGUAGUGGCCUACCAAGGCGACGACGGGUAGCCGGCCUGAGAGGGUGACCGGCCACACUGGGACUGAGACACGGCCCAGACUCCUACGGGAGGCAGCAGUGGGGAAUAUUGCGCAAUGGGCGAAAGCCUGACGCAGCGACGCCGCGUGGGGGAUGACGGCCUUCGGGUUGUAAACCUCUUUCAGCAGGGACGAAGCGAAAGUGACGGUACCUGCAGAAGAAGCACCGGCCAACUACGUG
rnacentral:rRNA from 1 species